rnacentral:rRNA from 1 species
UACGGAGGGUGCAAGCGUUGCUCGGAAUUAUUGGGCGUAAAGGGUAGGUAGGUGGUCUUAUUUGUCUGAGGUGAAAGCCUUGAGCUUAACUCAAGAAGUGCCUCAGAAACGGUAAGACUAGAGUCCUGGAGAGGGUCGUGGAAUUCCCGGUGUAGCGGUGAAAUGCGUAGAUAUCGGGGGGAAUACCAGUGGCGAAAGCGGCACCCUAGCGUUAGCCUGACGCUCAUGUGCGAAAGCGUGGGGAGCGAACGGG